rnacentral:rRNA from 1 species
AUGGACGGCAUAGGAGGCGCGGGCAAGCUCACGCGGACGCCCUCCUCGCUGCUGCGCUCCCCGACGGUGCGCAACUGCGCCUCCUUCCAGGCGGUGCUGGUGGAGGACCCGGAGCCCGACGACAAGAAGUCGCAGGCGCCGGCGCAGGGCAAGGCGCUGCACCCGCACGGCCUGCGCCCGGGCGGCCCGCCCCACCCGGCCCUCAUCCUCGCGCUGCCGCUCGCGCUGCUCCUCCUGCUGCUCCUCCUCCGCGACGACCGCCACCUGCUCCUCCUCGCCGCCGCCGCCACCGCCGCGCUCGCCGCGGCGGCCGCCGCCGCGCGCCUCCUCCGCGGCCGCCUGCGGAUGCGCCGCUCCCCGCAGUCCGGCUCCGUGCAGUGGUUCAUCGGCGACGAGGACGACAGGCCGCACCACGCCCGGGACACCAAGGGCCGGGCCGCCGCGCACGGCCGCGUGGUGCGGGAGGGCGUCGAGUUCUACAGCAAUGGGGACUGCUACGAGGGGGAGUUCCACAAGGGCCGCUGCAACGGCAGCGGCGUCUACAACUUCUUCGGCAAGGGCAAGUACGAGGGGGACUGGGUGGACGGCAAGUACGACGGCUACGGCAUCGAGAGCUGGGCGCGCGGCAGCCGCUACCGCGGCCAGUACCGCCAGGGCCUCCGCCACGGCCACGGCGUCUACCGCUUCUACAGCGGCGACUGCUACGCCGGCGAGUGGGCCGGCGGCCAGAGCCACGGCAUCGGCGCGCAGACCUGCUCCGACGGCAGCUCCUACGUAGGGGAGUUCAAGUGCGGCGUCAAGCACGGCCUCGGCAGCUACCAUUUCCGAAAUGGCGAUCGCUACGCCGGGGAGUACUUUGGGGACAAGAUCCAUGGCUUCGGUGUCUACCGCUUUGCCAAUGGCCAUUGCUACGAAGGCUCCUGGCAUGAAGGCAAGAAGCAGGGGUUCGGAAUGUACACCUUUCGGAACGGCGACAAGCGAUCCGGGGAGUGGGACUUCGGGACUCUCAAGAGCCCCCUGCCCCCAACAGAUCCUUCAGUCGAGCGCGCCGUGCAGGCUGCGCAACGGGCCGCGGAGAACGCCUUCCACCUGCCGAGGGUCGACGAGCAGGUGCACAAGGUGGUCAUGGCCGCGAACAGGGCAGCCACGGCGGCGCGGGUGGCGGCGAUCAAGGCGGUCCAGAACAGGAUGGACGGCAAAUUCUGCGACACCUAUGUGUGA